CCUACGGGAGGCAGCAGUGGGGAAUUUUGGACAAUGGGCGCAAGCCUGAUCCAGCAAUGCCGCGUGAGUGAAGAAGGCCUUCGGGUUGUAAAGCUCUUUUGUCAGGGAAGAAACGGCCGAGGCUAAUACCUUUGGCUAAUGACGGUACCUGAAGAAUAAGCACCGGCUAACUACGUGCCAGCAGCCGCGGUAAUACGUAGGGUGCAGGCGUUAAUCGGAAUUACUGGGCGUAAAGCGUGCGCAGGCGGUUUUGUAAGUCUGACGUGAAAUCCCCGGGCUCAACCUGGGAAUUGCGUUGGAGACUGCAAGGCUGGAGUCUGGCAGAGGGGGGUAGAAUUCCGACGUGUAGCAGUGAAAUGCGUAGAGAUGUGGAGGAACACCGAUGGCGAAGGCAGCCCCCUGGGUCAAGACUGACGCUCAUGCACGAAAGCGUGGGGAGCAAACAGGAUUAGAUACCCUGGUAGUCCACGCCCUAAACGAUGUCUACUAGUUGUCGGGUCUUAAUUGUNUGUACGUCNNUACGCGUGAGAGACGCCGUGGGAGGUACGGUCGCGAGAGUAAACGUACGAAAGAGAAGUUAGUACGGCGUGAGACGUAGACCGACGGACGACGACGAGGGAGGAGG
rnacentral:rRNA from 1 species